CAUAUUCCACCAACACCAUCAAUCUGAUGGAUUUACCACUGAAAGCCCAUAUAUCAAAACUAGUCGUCCUUCAAACCCAAGAUCAGAUAACAACCGUCUGAUCCUCUUCACUCUCUUCUAUAAAUUCAACAAAGCAGCAUUUUCUCCGUCUACCUGCAACUCGGGUUUUCUCUCAUUCAAACAGAGCCGAAAUUUAGUCAGUAGAAGCUCUAUAUGAAACUCUAGUCAUCUGAAUCAAUGGCACCUAAAGCAUCAAAGGCAAGAAGAUCGCGUACGAUCAGAAGCUGUGCCAGAUUCUAGAUGAGUUCAACCAGAUCCUGGUAUCAGCUGCUGACAACGUUGGGUCGAACCAGUUGCAGAAGAUGCGUCAGGGUCUUCGUGGUGACUCUGUGGUUCUGAUGGGUAAGAACACCGUGAUGAAGAGGUCCAUCAAGAUUCAUGCUGAGAACACUGGCAACAAGGCAUUUCUCAAUAUGACACCUCUACUUGUUGCACUUAUCCCGAAAAUACGCUAACUCAGCCAAAUAAGAGCUUAAAUGAAACAAUUCUAGGAUUGAACAAAGAAAUGAGCAAAGUGGAGAAAGAAAGAAGCUAAAGGAGCAAAUGGGUGAAAUUCAGAUUUUCGAUCGAUCCAAGAUGAAGGUUCGAUCGAUCCAACAUGGAUCGAUCUCAGCAUUUCAAGAUAGAUCAAAACCUUGAACCCAAAUCAGAAAGCCCAAAGUUCGAUCGAUCUAACACUAUACUUCGAUCGAUCGAACACCUUUGUCUUUAUUUAAAUGAUUGAUCUUAUCCACAACUGUACCACCUAACAACCACUUUUGUCCUUUUCCCCAAAAUAUCUCCAAAAAUAUCUAGGAUUUGUUUUUUCCGAAAAAGCUCAACCAGUUGGAUCGAUCCAGCCUUAGUUCGAUAGAUUUCAGCCAAGUUCGAUCGAUCGAACUUUCCUCCAGUGCGAAAAAGUUAAAAAGUCAGCCCAUUCAAGUUAUCUUGUAUCCAAUCAUUGGGGAAUGUGUGUGCACGACCUCAGCUCAUUUUGAGUGUCACUUGACCUACCCAUAAAUAGAAUAUGAUACACUUUUUGAGGAAAAAAAGAAAAGGAGAGGAGAGAUUAGCAAUUGGGUAGAGGCAACUUUAGAGGCUAUUCUUAAUGUAGAAGAAAAGGAGGAGGAAACGAGAGACACCAUUGGAGGCCUUUCAUCUUCCAAGAAGCAGAUUUCUUCCAUAGAGCUUGCCCUUGAGGGUUGGAGGAGCAUCACCAUGAGUGGCUAGACAUCCCCUUGGGACUAAAGUUAGCCCCAAGCAUGCUUUCUAUAUCUGAAUCUUGUGUAUUAUUGAGGGAUUAGUGUUGUAAUACAUGUUUUGACAGUUUGAUAAAUAUAGAUCUUGUUUAUUCAA